rnacentral:rRNA from 1 species
AUGGAUCAGUGUGCAACGCAUGUAAUAAUUAAACACAAGGCAAAAGGACUAUAUAACAGAAAACCUGGCGCAUUUCAUUCUGCUACUGCUACUGAAUAUCAAGGUGUUUUCAGAUAUCAAGGUAGGCCUCUGCUAUUUCUAGGGCGUUCACAUCCCCUAGCGCAUUUCUACUGCUACUGCUACUGUAUAUCUGAAAACUUUUCACCAACAGAAUAUAUACAUGUUCUCACUACUGCUACUGAAUAUCAAGGCAUUUUUCAUACUGCAUUUUUCCAGGCUUCAGCUUACAUUCUUUUUCCUAAUACAUUUUCAGAUUAG